UAUUGCACAAUGGGUGAAACCCUGAUGCAGCGACGCCGCGUGAGUGAAGAAGUAUUUCGGUACGUAAAGCUCUAUCAGCAGGGAAGAAAAUGACGGUACUUGACUAAGAAGCCCCGGCUAACUACGUGCCAGCAGCCGCGGUAAUACGUAGGGGGCAAGCGUUAUCCGGAGUUACUGGGUGUAAAGGGAGCGUAGACGGCAGCGCAAGUCUGGAGUGAAAUGCCGAGGCCCAACCCCGGAACUGCUUUGGAAACUGUGCAGCUCGAGUGCAGGAGAGGUAAGCGGAAUUCCUAGUGUAGCGGUGAAAUGUGUAGAUAUUAGGAGGAACACCAGUGGCGAAGGCGGCUUACUGGACUGUAACUGACGUUGAGGCUCGAAAGCGUGGGGAGCAA
rnacentral:rRNA from 1 species